UACGUAGGGGGCAAGCGUUGUCCGGAUUCAUUGGGCGUAAAGAGCGUGUAGGCGGCCAGGUAGGUCGGUUGUGAAAACUGGAGGCUCAACCUUCAGAGGUCGACCGAAACCAUCUGGCUAGAGUCCGGGAGAGGAGAGUGGAAUUCCUGGUGUAGCGGUGAAAUGCGUAGAUAUCAGGAGGAAUACCGAUGGCGAAGGCAGGUCUCUGGGCUGACACUGACGCUCAUGCACGAAAGCGUGGGGAGCAAACAGG
rnacentral:rRNA from 1 species